GGCCGCAGAUUAGAGGUAUCUAUGUUUAACCCCGGGUGGUCGGCUGAUAUCUCGACAUGCCUUAUGCAUGAUAGUGCACACCUUGGUUUCAAACGAUUCUCUACAGAUAGAAUGGGGCUACAUGCUUGGGCCCCUGUUGAACACACACCCACACCCUUUGUUUUUGAAACAAACACACACACACACACACACUCCUGCUGCUCCGUCACACGCACACUCAUGCACGCACCCUGAUUUUCCGUGUCUUUUUUCUUCGUGACAGACCGGGGUGAUGUCGGGAAAGGACAUUUUCCUAUCGUUAAAGGACGUGGUUGAUGGCUGGAAAGGACAUUUUCCCUUCGUUAAAGGUUCUCACUGAAGGGGAUAAUUCUCACUGAAACUACAGAAUAAAGCCGCCAGUUAAAAUCAUGGAACGGUUGUGCUCGUGGUUACUGAAGGGAGCUACAAGACCAUUAUUCGUUUCGAAUUCACCAACUCAAAGACGCUUGCCCGCUCCAUCAUAACUCCGUAAGUUUUCCCUCCCUGUGUAGAUCAAACGUCCUGCCUGUAAAUCCUGGGUAUGCCCACAUCAUUAAUGAAUAAGAUGUGUAGAAAACUGUUUAGCCAUAGUUAAAGGCCUUUCAUAAAGAGGCUGUCAUGAUUGCCUGUGCCUCAUGUUUAACACGUAUUGCUUGUUACCGAAUACUACUGUUGUACAUUUAAUAUCUACUAGCCGAUUUCGUCGCAUUUGCACAAAUUCUGUCAUGUUACUGUGGUCUUUUUAAAAGUCAAUAAAUAUGUGUGUAGAGUGUACAUGUUUGUUUCACUGUAGAUCUGUUUAAGACCUCCUAGAAACACCUAAUUUCAUCCCACAGCAUUAAUUAAUAAGCUGUGUAGAAGCUGUUUAGCCAUAAGUAAAGGCCUUUCAUAAAGCAGCUGUCAUGAUUGCAUGUCCCUUAUGUUUAACACGUAUUGCUUGUUACAGAAUACUACUGUUGUACAUUUAAUAUCCCCUAGCAGAUUUCGUUGCCUUUGCACAAAUUCUGUCAUGUUACUGUGGUCUUUUUAAAAGUCAAUAAAAAUGUGUGUAAAGUGUC